UAUCUCAUAAGAAAGGCAAAUGGGUGUGU
rnacentral:piRNA from 1 species